UGAGGAAUAUUGGGCAAUGGACGAAAGUCUGACCCAGCGACGCCGCGUGAGGGAAGAAGGUCUUCGGAUUGUAAACCUCUGUUGACAGGGAAGAAGAAAGUGACGGUACCUGUCGAGGAAGCCACGGCUAACUACGUGCCAGCAGCCGCGGUAAUACGUAGGUGGCAAGCGUUAUCCGGAAUUACUGGGUGUAAAGGGUGUGUAGGCGGGACUGCAAGUCAGAUGUGAAAACUAUUGGCUUAACCAAUAGCCUGCAUUUGAAACUGUGGUUCUUGAGUGUCGGAGAGGUAAAUGGAAUUCCUAGUGUAGCGGUGAAAUGCGUAGAUAUUAGGAGGAACACCAGUGGCGAAGGCGGCUUGCUGGACGACAACUGACGCUGAGGCUCGAAAGCGUGGGGAGCAAACAGGAUUAGAUACCCUGGUAGU
rnacentral:rRNA from 1 species